AGUGGUGUUGUUAAUGAAAGAAGUAAAGAAAAGUGUUGUUCUUGAGUGGUGUUGUUAAUGAAGGAAGUAAAGAAAAGUGUUGUUCUUGAUUGGUGUUGUUAAUAGAGGAGAGUGAAAAAAAUUAAAAGAAAGUGUUGUUAAUGGAGGAAAGCGGAAAAAAAUUGAAGGAAAGUGGUGUUCUUCGAUGGUGUUGUUAAUGGAGGAAAGUGAAAAAAAAUUAAGGUUGUUAAUGGAGGUUUGAGGGUUGUUGUUGAAGAUGAUUUGAAGAAAAAAGAAGA
rnacentral:lncRNA from 1 species